rnacentral:rRNA from 1 species
UAACACGUGGGCAAUCUGCCCCAGACUUUGGGAUAACUACUCGAAAGAGUAGCUAAUACCGAAUAUUCAGCCUUGCAGGCAUCUGCGAGGCUGGAAAGUUUCUCGGUCUGGGAUGAGCCCGCGGCCUAUCAGCUAGUUGGUGAGGGUAAAUGGCUCACCAAGGCGACGACGGGUAGCCGGCCUGAGAGGGCGACCGGCCACACUGGGACUGAGACACGGCCCAGACUCCUACGGGAGGCAGCAGUGGGGAAUAUUGCGCAAUGGGCGAAAGCCUGACGCAGCAACGCCGCGUGCGGGAUGAAGGCCUUCGGGUUGUAAACCGCUUUCAGCAGGGAAGAAGCGAAAGUGACGGUACCUGCAGAAGAAGCACCGGCUAACUACGUG